GACGAACGCUGGCGGCGUGCUUAACACAUGCCAGUCGUACGGUAAGGCCCUUUCGGGGGUCCACGAGUGGCGAACGGGUGAGUAACACGUGAGUAACCUGCCCACAACUUUGGGAUAACGCUAGGAAACUGGUGCUAAUACUGGAUAUGUGCUCCUGCUGCAUGGUGGGGGUUGGAAAGCUCCGGCGGUUGUGGAUGGACUCGCGGCCUAUCAGCUUGUUGGUGGGGUAGUGGCCUACCAAGGCGGCGACGGGUAGCCGGCCUGAGAGGGUGACCGGCCACAUUGGGACUGAGAUACGGCCCAGACUCCUACGGGAGGCAGCAGUGGGGAAUAUUGCACAAUGGGCGCAAGCCUGAUGCAGCAACGCCGCGUGCGGGAUGACGGCCUUCGGGUUGUAAACCGCUUUCAGCAGGGACGAAGCUUUUUGUGACGGUACCUGCAGAAGAAGCACCGGCUAACUACGU
rnacentral:rRNA from 1 species